rnacentral:rRNA from 1 species
UACGUAGGGUCCGAGCGUUGUCCGGAAUUACUGGGCGUAAAGAGCUCGUAGGUGGUUUGUCGCGUUGUCCGUGAAAACUCACAGCUUAACUGUGGGCGUGCGGGCGAUACGGGCAGACUGGAGUACUGCAGGGGAGACUGGAAUUCCUGGUGUAGCGGUGGAAUGCGCAGAUAUCAGGAGGAACACCGGUGGCGAAGGCGGGUCUCUGGGCAGUAACUGACGCUGAGGAGCGAAAGCGUGGGGAGCGAACAGG